CGGGCCGAGCGGUCCCCGCACCGCGGAGGGGGCGGGACGCGCCCUCCCAGCCCUGUGCCCCGCACCUGCGGGCGGAGCGGUGGGGAGGCCGGCUUAGCUGCUCCGCCAGGCCCUCCUUUCGUUUCUCACCGCCGAGCGUCCAGCCGGCUGCUCCUGAGAAGUUGGAGACGCCUCUCCUAAAAACCCAGAACUCUCCCCUGGCUUGCAGGAGCAGUAAUGUACAAGCCUCUCCCCACAAUGUGGUGUGGAGCAGCAAUGCUGAACGAAGCACUGGCUUUCUUUCUUUCGUUUACCAGCAAUGGGCAUGGACAGCACAGUGGACAACCUGCUGAUUGCCAGUACCCUUCAUUGCCCCAAUUGUGUAAGAAUGAAUUUGAAGACUUGAAAAAACACAGCAUAGUGUAACAACAAAGGGACAGUACCAAGAUCUGACCUUGUUGAGGUUAUUCACAUGCUUGAAGUUACACAAGUAUUUUGUUCUACUCAUACACAGGAUCCAAGCAAGCUCACCACAGUAACUGGAGCGAGUGAAGAAAGACUGGCAAAAAUGAAAAGAUGGUCAACAAACCUCACAAAUUUACCUUCCUCUCAAAGGCCAUUUGCUGCUUCUUUUUGCCUUUGAUCAAGAUAAACUGAAGUUCUGUUGCUUCUGUGUGCAGUCCACAUCGCCAUGAAGAAAAUGUUUUGGGAAAAUUCAGCAUUCAACUUCUAGUCUGCAAGACCCUGAAUUAUAAUAAUUUUAGAAGCUUGUGGAAGUGGAGGACAUGGGGUAAAAUAGUCUCCAAAAUGUUAUUUUGCCCCUGAAACUCAACUCUUAAGAACUAUAUAUCUUCAUCCCAUGUCCCCAUUUUAUGAAAGGAAUGAGAUUUGCAACACUUCAUUUAGACUCUCCUGGGAGAGAACCAGCUGACCUUGUAGUUAGUAUGCUGGACACCUUCUGAUGUUUCCAGUCUUGGCAGGGAGGCUACAUCCAGUAUUAUUAAAGAAUCACAGAAUGCCAGGUUGGAAGGGACCCCAAGGAUCAUCUGGUCCAACAUUUCUAGGUACUACUAUAGUUUAUAUGAGAUGACUUAGCACCUUGUCAAGCUGAGACUUAAAACUGUCCAAUAUGGAAGAAUCUACCACUUCCAUUGGGAGACUGUUCCAAUGUUUGAUUGUCCUUAUUGAUACACUCUUUUUAGCAUGAUAUUUGUGUCAUUUGGUUCUUUAAUCCAGGAACCAGGGGAAAAAACUUGAUGCAUGGGCUUCCUAGAGAAGAACUAUAAACUUCUUUGCCUACUCUCUGUCCUUUCCUCCCCCCAUUGUAGAGUUUCCUGUGCUCCCACGCAGAGGGUGUAGUAAAAGAAGUGUAGUGUAUCCCCGCAUCCACAUCCCAGCUGUGUCUGAUUUUGUAAAUUUGCUAUUUGGUCACAUGGAGACUAGAUUUAGAUGUGCUUCAGUUACUUGAUCUAGUUUGAACCUUUAUGAUACAUAUCUAUAUCUAUGGUUUUUAAAAAAAUAUUUUUACUGAUAGCAUUGGAUUUAGAUAACAGUCCUUAUUUUCAGCAAAUGCUUUGGAGUCCCUACAUUAUAGUCUAUUGAAACUAGCUGGGAUGACUUUCUGGGGUCUUAAUGCAGGAAACCAUCUACAGUGCCAGUGUCUGAGCAUGUCCAAUGGUUUUUGCAGCUACAGUUUAGGAAAAGUGUAACAAAACUGGACUUCAGCCACAAGGCACCUUUCCUUUCUGAUGUCACAAGUUUGGUAUUGCAAAAUCUGAUUCUGUGCAUCAUGUUAAAACUGUUUUCAUUCAUUCCCCAGCAAAGUCUACUUUUAAUAGAUGCCAUAAACCAAGAUGGACAAUGCAGAUGUUAUUAAUUAAAAAAAUCUGAUUCCUUUUUAUUCAUAACCAAAGGCAAUUCCCCAUGAACUUAAUGGUACAAAGUGGCCUUUAUAAUGAAACCCAUUUCUGAACUGCUAACCAAUGACAAAUGCUUAGUAGAUCCUCCUAUUAAAUAAAAAUACUAGUGAAAAACUCACUUAUCAUUGAAAGAGAGCAUUAGAGUAAGUAAGGCAAGCAGUUUACCACUGGGAGAUGUCUGUGUUGGUAUCUCGUUUUCUGAAUCGAUAAGUAACUUCAGCAAAGAAUGAAUAUGAAAUAGUGAGUUUAAAGCAAAACUUUGUGUUCAAUGGAUUUAAUAAGAAUAUAAAAAUUUUGCUGUGGUGUUGCACAUAAUUUUCAGUUACCUUAUUAAAAAAGAUACUACCUUGUACCUGCAAAACCAGGUGUUUACUUACACCUGGAAUUAGCAAGUUUUUAAAAUUCUUUUUAAGUUCCCUUUGUCCUAAAUACACCGUUUUUAGAACAGCACUAUUAAUUCAACAGUGACUUCUACCCAUGGAGGCUUGUACAACUUGUACUCCUCAGAGAGAAAGAAGGUGUAGGAGAACAUAUGUGAACACAGGGAACACCCCACUGGGUCAGUCUGGGUUUUCUUUGUUUCCUCUGACAGUGGCAAGAGACCCUGGUACAUCAGGUACUUUGAGUGUACAUCAAAUGUGCGCCAUGGCUGGGUGAUUGUAACUGGAUGGUCUUUAAGGUCCCUUCCAAGCCAAACCAUUCUAUGAUUCUGUGAAAUGAGGCAGGCUGAAGUCUCUCCUCCAGAACCUCUUACUGAAGUUCUAGCUGCGCUUUUUUCUCUCAACUUUUUAUUUGUAUACUCUCUAACCCUUCCAAGGCCCUUGAACUUGUAGGACCUUCUCAUCAAUCUCUUCCAGAUGCUGUCCCUAUUGGUUAUUCAUGUCACCAGAAGAAGGAAACUUGAUGGGGCAAUCCUAGUGACUGUGGAAUCUGUGUCCAUUCAUUCUAUCAUUCUCUCACAUCUCCAAGCAAAGUAUCACUGUGCAGCAUCCAUGUGCUCCUCUAUUGACCUUCAAGCAGAGGCAGGUGAUGUCAGGGUUUCUCUGCUGCAUGUCCGCCUCCAGUUCCCUAUCUCUCUAUCUUCAACCCUGUAACACUUCCCUUUCUUUCAUUUGUUGCUCAUUGUAGUUCAUUUUUCUCCUUGUUUUCAUUACAUUUGCCCUCUCCCUCCCUUAGGUGGACUUCAAAGUUUUGUUAACAUGUACCUAAACAGAAAAGCAAAUAGAAACAGCAGCACUAGGAAAAAACACUUACAGAGUGCACAAGUCUCGGUUUCCUUCUUUAGGCAUUUUUCCUUGCCAUCCACUGGCUUCUAUGGCUGUUAGGAAGCUAAUUCCUUGCCUGUUCCCUUUGUUAUCCAUUUUUUGAUCUCUUGUACAUUAACUUGUCUGAGGCCUGUUUGAACCCACUGUUGGGAUCUGCACAAUCUCUUGGCAGCAAGUCCAGAAAUUCACCAGCCACUCUGUAAUGUGUGGGGUUUUUUUUUAUCUCUUUCAAACUAAUGUCACCAUAUGAACUAAACUGUGAGGUUUUAUGAAAAACUGUUCCAUAUUAAUCUUUUCAGCCACCUUCAAGAUUUCAUAAACCUUGAACAAAUCCCACCAGAGCACCCUCCCUGUUGAAAACUCUCAAAUUUUUGUGUCUGAUCUCAUAAGGCAGCCAAUGCCUUUAAUCCCUUUAGUAAUUUCAUUUUUCUUCUCUGUAUCUUCCCUAACUCUACCAUGUCCUUUUCUAGAUAACCAAGACCAGAAUUGUAUAGAGCAUUGAAAAUGGGAGUACAGUGGAGUUACACUAGAGCUGUGGCAGAUUGAUGCAGGCCCUGCAGAGAGACCUUGACAAGUUAGAGAGAUGGUCAGUCACCAACCACAUGGAGUUUAACAAGGGCAAGUGCUGGAUUCUGCACCUGGGAUGGGGCAGCCCUGGUGGUGAGUACAGACCAGGGAACAAGGGGCUGGAGCAGGAUGGCAGAGAGGGACCUGGUGGUCCUGGUUGAUGGCAAACUGAAGAUGAGGCAGCAGUGUGCCCUGGCAGCCAGGAGGGCCAACUGUGUCCUGGGAUGCAUCAAGCAGACUGUUGCCAGCCAGUCAAGGGAGGUGAUUGUCCCACUCUACUCUGCACUGGUAUGACCUUGAGUACUGUGUGCAGUUUUGGGCACCACAGUAUAAAAAGGACAUCAAGCUAUUGGAGAGUCUCCAAAGGACAGCCACGGGGAUGGUGAAGGGUCUGGAAGGGAUGACUUACAGGGAGCAACUGAGGUCACUUGAAUUAUUCAGCUUGGAGAAGAGGAGGCUGAGGGGUGACCUCAUUGCAGUCUAUGGCUUUCUCACCAGGGGAAGAGAUGGGGCAGUUACUGAUCUCUUCCCUCCUGUGACCAAUGACAGGACUUAGGGAAAUGGCAGGAAGCUGAAUCCAGGGAGGUUUAGGUUGGCUAUCAGUAAAAGGUUUUUCACACAGAGGGUGGUUGAGCACUGGAACAAGCUCCCCAGGGAAGUGGUCACAGCACCAAGCCUGCCUGAGUUCAAGAAGCGUUUGGAUGAUGCUCUCAGGCACAUGGUGUGAUUCUUGGGGUGCCCUACACAGGAACAGGAGUUGGACUCAAUGAUCCUGAUGGGUCCCUUCCAACUUGGCAUAUUCUGUGAGUAUAUGAAUCUUGUGUGCUUCAGGGAAAACCAACUCAUUUAGCCAAUUAAAUAGUAGUGUUAACUUUUAGAAGUUAUGUGAAGCUAUACAGGUUCAGAAUUUUGUUCUGAAUCCCAUGAACUAUUACUUUUACAAUAACGUGUAUCAUGUAUUAAUAUAUCUAUUGGUCCCAGGGUUGUAGGUCUUCCAAAGUAGCAGCUCUAUUUUGAAUGAACUUGAAUUUUUGUUUAAGUAAGCUCAAGUGUAUCUUUGGUAUGAGGUAGAUGAGAUGGAAAUGCUGUAGAUGUAGAUUCUAGAUAGGAAGACAGCAGAAAGAGCAAAUGAGUUAUCUUUGGAGCAGUACCUGAGUCCUGCAAUAAAAAUCAGCUUCCUUCUUUCUGGCUGGUGAUCUGCAUGCUGAAUAGAUAAGGAGAAGGGAAAAUGGUGCUCCUUAAACAUCAUUGCCAUCUUCAUAGGUUUUUAUUUAUUUGCUCAACUUUGUCUCUAAUUCUUAGAUGCACAGAUGCCAAGAGUGAGCAAUUGAGGAGGUUAUUAUCAGAGAAUUUGAUACUGAGUUUUUUUGGCUGUGUACGUGUGUAUACACCCUUGUAUAUGAAACACCCUCUGAUUUGAAGGUCUUGCAGUUCAAACAGAGACAGACAGAAAUAAGUUGUUGCUUAUCCAUUUUACUUAGCAAGAAGUAAUGGCUUUCUAGCAAUCAGGCAUUUUGCACAUGAUCUUUUACUUGGCAAAGUUUUUUGUUAUUCAGUAUCCACAUGAAACCAUUAUGUACGUCACCUCUGGGGAAACCAUUAUGUAACCAAGGCAGUUGCAUGAGCAGACAGCAGGCAAUACUUUUAGAACACUCUUUGCUAUUUUAGUUUUGUAUUUUAAAUAUCCAGACAUUUGAAGUCUGUUUUCUAGCAAAGAAAAGAAGGUGCUACCUGUUGUGGUUUUUUUUUUUGGGGGGGGGAGUUGUAAAAUAUCCAUGGAAUAAGUAAAAUGUCCAUUUGAAAGUUAAUAAUUUGACCCUAUUCCAUUCCUGUGAAAGCUUAUUACUGUGGAGAAAAAGGUUGUUGAUGUGAAAGCUCUAUGUUCUCUUAAACCAUCCCUGUUAUUAAAAGUAAGCGUAUUUGAAGAAUCAA